rnacentral:rRNA from 1 species
CCUACGGGUGGCAGCAGUGAGGAAUAUUGGUCAAUGGCCGGAAGGCUGAACCAGCCAUGCCGCGUGAAGGUCAGUGCCCUAUGGGCGUUAAACUUCUUUUGUGCGGGAGCAAUAAUGGUCACGUGUGGCCAGACGAGAGUACCGUACGAAUAAGCAUCGGCUAACUCCGUUCCAGCAGCCGCGGUAAUACGGGGGAUGCAAGCGUUAUCCGGCUUUAUUGGGUUUAAAGGGUGCGUAGGCUGUGAGGUAAGUCAGCGGGGAAAUGCCCCCGCUCAACGGGGUGAAGUGCCAUUGAUACUGCCUUGCUGGAAUGCGGAUGCCGUGGGAGGAAUGUGUGGUGUAGCGGUGAAAGGCAGAGAUAUCACACAGAACAACGAUUGCGAAGGAAUCUCACGAAUCCGCGAUUGACGCUGAUGCACGAAAGCGUGGGUAUCAAACAGGAUUAGAUACCCUUGUAGUC